AUGGGAACGCGAAGAACCUUACCUAGACUUGACAUCUCCUGAAUAGUGUAGAGAUACAUGAAGCCCUUCGGGGCAGGAAGACAGGUGGUGCAUGGUUGUCGUCAGCUCGUGUCGUGAGAUGUUGGGUUAAGUCCCGCAACGAGCGCAACCCUUAUUACUAGUUGCUACCAUUAAGUUGAGUACUCUAGUGAGACUGCCCGGGUUAACCGGGAGGAAGGCGGGGAUGACGUCAAAUCAUCAUGCCCCUUAUGUCUAGGGCAACACACGUGCUACAAUGGUGAGUACAGAUAGAUGCGAUACCGCAAGGUGGAGCCAAACUCUAAAACUCAUCCCAGUUCGGAUUGUAGGCUGCAACUCGCCUACAUGAAGUUGGAGUUGCUAGUAAUCGCGAAUCAGAAUGUCGCGGUGAAUACGUUCCCGGGUCUUGUACACACCG
rnacentral:rRNA from 1 species